UAAAACGUCGCCGACAACAGCAAAACGCAUGAAGUUUAGUGUGCAAAAACUUUGACAAAAAUUUAAAGUAAAAAAUCGCUUUAAUUUUCUUCUUUUUUGAGGAAAAUUAUUAUCAUUUUUUCGUUAAUUUGCAGUUUUAUUUAAGCCAACAAAAUUGAGAAAAAUACAGACGACAUGCCUGAACAGGACAAUAUGAUGAUGAGCUGGUAUCCGGUAAUCCAAAUCAACGUAAUUGGCGUGGUAUAUUCAUUGCUUUAUUGGUCAUAACAAUAGUUUUAGCUUUAAUUGUAACAUCAGUGAAAACGUCAUAUAAAAUUCUUGCUUUUAUAAAAGGUACUUCUCACUCCCCCCGAUGAAGGGCCCAGAGUCAAAGGUCAACGUCUUAAAUUGCAAGAAAUUGUUGAUGGCGUAUUUAUGCCACAAAAAACCAAUGGCACCUGGGUAAAUGAAGAAGAAUUCCUUUAUCAAGAUCAUUGGGGACGCAUUUGUCUUUUGAAUGUUGCCAAUCUAACUGAACGUGUCUUAAUGUCAAAUGUUACAUUUAAAACAUUGUCACCGUAUACAUUUUCCAUAUCAGCGGAUAAACGUUUUUUAUUAUUGUCACAAAACGUUAUCAAAUUGUUCCGUUAUUCGUUUUUGGCACAAUAUACAUUGUUUGACAUUCAAACUAGUGAAAGUAUUAAAUUGAAAAUCGAUGCCAGCGACAAUGAAUGGCCGUAUUUGCAUUAUGCACAUUUUACACCCGCCUCACAUGCCCUCGUUUUAGUCUACAAUUACGACAUCUAUUACUGCCAGGAGGUGCAUUCUAAACCUGUACAUCGUAUAACGAGUGAUGCCAUACCUGGUGUUAUCUUUAAUGGAAUACCUGAUUGGUUAUAUGAAGAGGAAAUUUUAAAUGCAAAUAAUGCAAUAUGGCUUUCACAUGAUGGUCGUACCAUGUUAUAUGCUUCAUUCAAUGAUUCAUUAGUGCAAGAACAACAUUUCGCUUGGUAUGGUACAACAAAUGCUGGAAAUCCUAAUGCUGGCCAUCAUCCAAAUGCUAAUUUGUAUCCGGAAAUAAGGUCAUUAAGAUAUCCAAAACCGGGCACACAAAAUCCCACUGUAACACUACGUGUUGUAGACCUAAAGAAUGCCGAAAGAAUACAUACGCGUGAUGUGCAACCACCGCAAGUCCUACAAAACGAAGAUUAUUAUAUUACCAGCGCCAGUUGGGUAAGUGAAAAUGAAGUUAGCGUGGUCUGGUUAAAUAGACCGCAAAAUAUUUCUGUGGUUAGCGUAUGCAAAGCGCCUAUGUUUGUAUGUGUUGAGACCCAUCGUGUUAGUGGUGAUGGUCGCGGUUGGGUGGAUACAUUAACGGUGCCGUUAUUUGCUGCCAAUGGUACUUCUUAUAUCUCAAUAUCGCCUUUGCGUGAUGGCAGUUCAGGCUAUUUUCGUCAUAUAGUUCACGUACAUGUGGCCAAGAAAAGGGUCUUGCCACUGACUCAUGGUCAAUAUGAGGUGAAAGAGUUGUUGCACUGGGAUCAAGAGAAUAAUUGGAUCUACUUUUUGGGCGUACCCGAACGUUUGCCUUCCCAGCAGCAUUUGUAUAGAGUAUCAGCUUUACCGCCACGUCAUGGUUCACCCAUAUAUGCUCCAGAUUGUUUAACUUGCCCCAUACCCAAAAACAGUGAUGGCACUUAUGCCUAUGAGGCUCACACCAAACCACCACCUAAACUGGUUACCGCCUGGGAUGAUGAUUGGGAAAAUUCGGAUGAUGCUCCAGCGGUGGCGGGACCAGCAUUACCUUUGGAACAAAAACAUCCAAGAGAAUCGAAAAUUUCUGAAGACUCCGAUGAAUGUCUAUAUAAUACCGCCAAAUUUCCACCUAGUUUACAUGCUAGAUUUGUGCUAAUCGAGUGCUUGGGCCCUGCCAUACCCACUUCUAGUAUUUAUAUAGUCAAUGGUGUGGAAAAAGAACGUACAGCAAAUGGCAUUGAAAAACAUCAUUUACCCUUAGAACUGCUUAUGGUUAUACAGAAUAACACACGUCUAAAGGAGAAAAUGUCCAAGACGGCUAUGCCUCAGGUGAAAACAUUUCCCGUUAUGAUUUCCGGUGGCUAUCAUGCUCAAGUUAAGCUCUAUUUACCGCCCGUCUUAAGAGAAGAUGAAAUAACCCGUUAUCCCACUAUAUUACAUGUAUAUUCGGGUCCUGGCACUCAAUUGGUUACCGAUAAAUGGCAUGUUGAUUGGAAUACUUAUUUGUCGGGUAAUAAAGAUUAUAUUGUAAUCGAAAUUGAUGGACGUGGUUCGUCGGGUCAGGGUUAUCAACUAUUGCAUGAGGUUUAUAAAAGACUGGGUACAGUUGAAGUUUCGGAUCAAUUGGAAGUUAGCGAAUAUUUACGUGAUAAUUUACAUUUUAUCGAUAAUCGUCGCAUGGGUGUUUGGGGUUGGAGUUAUGGUGGUUAUACGGCCGCCUUGGCUUUGGCUGGCGCUCAGUCGAUAUUCCAGUGCGGCAUAAGUGUUAGUCCGGUAACGAAUUGGAAAUUAUAUGAUUCCACUUAUGCUGAACGCUAUUUAAGUUUUCCUAAUGUAACCGACAAUUAUAAAGGCUACGAAGAGGGUGAUCUCUCCAAAUAUGUAGACAACCUAAGAGAUAAACAAUUCCUAUUGAUUCAUGGUACUGCAGAUGAUAAUGUACAUCUACAGCAAUCUAUGGUUCUAUCCAGAGCCUUAACUAAUAAAGGUGUACUAUACAAACAACAAAUAUACCCCGAUGAGGGUCAUCAAUUAUCGGGUGUAAAAAGGCAUUUAUAUCGUUCUAUGACCGCCUUCUUUGAUGAUUGUUUUAAGAAAUUGCUUGACCAACAGCAGGCUAAUCAAACCGAUUAUUCGGAUUUUUUGGACUUUCAUAGCUUUUAUACAUAAAUUAAUGCCAAAAAAAAUUACCAUGAACAAUGAAAGAAAAAUAAAAAAUCUCAAUCAAUCAUACAAAAUGAAAUGAAACCAAAAAAAAUAACGAAAUGUAAAUUUAAAUUAGAAAAUAAAAUAAAAAAGCCAAAAACUAUAUAAACGAUUUAAACAUCGUUCCAAAGGUACCACCGGAAACGAAAGCUGGCCUGGGUAAUGGUGGUGAUAAUCAACAGCAAUAAAUUUUUCAAAAUGUCUAUUUGUUUGUGUAAUGAAUGAAUGAUGUGUGAGUAAAACGAAAGCAACUAAAUAUAUUCCCUUAUAAAUAAUUUGUGUUAUAACAAAUACAUAUAAGAAAACAAAACAAAAAACAAUAAUAAAAAAAGUGCUAAAAACUUAAACAGCAGUUACAACCUAAACGGAAACGGAAACAUAAUCAAAUCAUACCAAAUAACAACUUAAUCAAAUUUGCAACAACUAAAAGUAAUAGUUUUGAAAUGUUACAACUACUAAAUGCUAAACAACUUUUCCAAUAAUAAAAGAAAAACUAUAAAAAAAAACUUUGAAA